rnacentral:rRNA from 1 species
GUGUCAGCCGCCGCGGUAAUACAGAGGUCCCAAGCGUUGUUCGGAUUCACUGGGCGUAAAGGGUGCGUAGGCGGUUGGAUAAGUCUGAUGUGAAAUCUUCGAGCUCAACUCGGAAACUGCAUCGGAAACUAUCUAGCUUGAGGAUUGGAGGGGAGACUGGAAUUCUCGGUGUAGCAGUGAAAUGCGUAGAUAUCGAGAGGAACACCAGUGGCGAAGGCGAGUCUCUGGACAAUUCCUGACGCUGAGGCACGAAAGCUAGGGGAGCAAACAGGAUUAGAUACCCCUGUAGUCC